GAAGAUGUAAGGGCUGUGAGAAACCCGAUUUUAUUACAUUAGGAGGUGGGGGAGAUGCUUGUGGAAAUGGUCAUGGUUAAAUGAUCUGGGGUUUUGGAGCCUGUCACAGCAUAAGUCAAAGUAUCCUGGGGCUGCUAUAGCUGCCAAUGAGUACAGGGUACCUCUCCUCACCACUGUAACACCUUCACCAUGAGAUAGAAGAUUAUUGGAAUGCUCUGCAGAGCCUUUCAGAGGAGGCAUUUUCGGCAGUGGAGAAAGCGUUUGCAGUGCCAAAUGGAUUUUACUGGCAGACAGUUGAAACUGAUGAAAAAUACUUCCCUAAUAGCAGCAACAUUGAGGCUUGCAGCAACACAGACACUGAGAAAAACUGCCUUCUUCCUAUGCUUCAGAGACGGGCAUGGUGCCACCAGUGCUGGCUUUGGGCGUGAGAGGGCCCUAAAGCACGUAGCGCCUUGCAGAAUAUCAUGGGGCCAGUCCGACCCGCAGCUGGCUGGCGUGACAGACUGCACUUCCAUCAAUGCCAUCUACUGCAGGAGCCAAGCAGAGCCUCUCGUCUACCUGCCCCAGCUGGACAGCCGCGUGCACAGGGAGCUGUGCCUCUGGUUCGGAGGGAGGGCUGCUCAUGCAGCACUGCAUGGUGGUGUCCUAGAUCCAGCUUCCAGAUGCAACAGAGUGAGGUCUCAGAGUCCUUCAUCAACUAGAGCAGAAGCAGAUGAAGAAAACGUUCAUCUCCAGGACAUGGCGCAACCUCGACCUCCAGCGAUGCUUGUCUCAACUUCCAAAGGGGACAUUAUUUUGAUGGUGUCGCCUGUGGUAUCUCCUCAUGCAUGUGGUAAUGUGAUCUCAGGUCUGUACUCAGUCGGGGGUUUCUUCUGCAAGGAAUCAGACGGCUGCAGCUUUCACCCAAGCAAGCCAUUGUGCUGAGCAUGACAACAAGUCAGGUACCGGUCAGAACAUACAGCUCACUUGUAUGCUUUGGGUUACCAUUUCUGAAACUUAUUAUACUGUGGGUUUAUGGAUGUGUGAACUGACACACUCCUGUAGUGAGUGUUCUUGAGUGUUCUUCUCUCUUCAUUAUCUCUACUAGCUAGCCAGCAC
rnacentral:lncRNA from 1 species